GGGGGUGUAGCUCAGUGGUAGAGCAUUUGACUGCAGCUCAAGGGGUCUCCGGUUCAAAUCCGGAUGCCCCCC
rnacentral:tRNA from 2 species